rnacentral:tRNA from 1 species
AGUAGCUCAGUGGUAGAGCGGUCGGCUGUUAAUUGACUGGUCGUAGGUUUGAAUACCUUUCU